GUCCGUGAGGCGCUGCGCGUCUCCGAGAGCGAAGUGGGCUGCCGGGCGUGCGGCCGCUGGGUUCGUGUGCUCCGAGCCCGAGGACCGUUUGCGGCCGCCGUCCCGUCCUGGAGCAGGAGUGAGGGGGCGCCUCUCACUUUCCUGCGAACCCGCAGAACGGGCGGCCGGCGCUGGGGAGGCCGCCGGAGCUUCCCGCCCCUUCACCAAGCGGCCCUGACGCGCAGUCGAAAGCGUGGAUUUUGCCGUGCGCGGCGGCUACGUCCGGAGUCCCAGCGCCUUGAGAGGCGAGGCGGGAGGAUCCCCAGGGCCCGGGAGCUCGAGACCAGCCUGGGCAAAUAUUUUGAAAGUCAUGACGGAGUCACGCUCUGUCACCCAGGCUGGAGUGCAGUGGUGUGAUCUCGGCUCGCUGCAACCUCUGCCCGCCGAGUUCAAGCGAUUCUUCUGCCUCAGCCUCCUGACUAGUGGGGAUUACAGGCACCCGCCACCACGCCUGGGCUAAUUUUUUGUUUAGUAGAGGUGGAGUUUCACCAUGUUGGCCAGGCUGGUCUUGAACUCCUGACCUCAGGUGACCCCCCCUCCCCCAGCCUCCCAAAGUGCUGGGAUUACAGGCGUGAGCCACCAUGCCCAGCUUACACCUGGUUAACUCUUAAUGGCCAAAAUCAAAGUACGGAUGAAAAAGACAAGAAUCUGAGAAGUCACAUUGCUGAGGUCUGAGAGUCAUGACCCCACUGUCACCGGGGAGGCCCAGCAGAGGGCAGCACCUGGAUGAUGAGACCCAGUUCAGGAGGCGCAGCACAGAGUGGUCACCAUCCUUCCCCUGGUUCACCGGGAAGCUUGCUCCCCCUCCUUCUGUAUUCCUGGCAAAUGGCAACGGGCAAAGCGAAGCGUGGGCCAAGGACGGAGGAGGCGGUGCCGCGCGUCUGCCGUGGUCACAAGCCACAGAAGUUUGCUUCACUCCUGCCAGAAAUUGGCAGGACAGUAGAAUUCUCUUCUAAAGCACGUGUUGAACAGAGUGUGUAAUAACAUGAGAUUAAAAAGUUACUGCCAGAUGACAAAAUAUAAAUAUUAAAAUGAAGCUUCCAAUGAAUAUGAAAA